rnacentral:rRNA from 1 species
AUACGUAGGUGGCAAGCGUUAUCCGGAUUUACUGGGUGUAAAGGGCGUGUAGGCGGGCUGGCAAGUCGGGUGUGAAAUUUCCAGGCUUAACUUGGAGAGGUCAUCCGAAACUGCUGGUCUUGAGUACUGGAGAGGAUAGUAGAAUUUCUGGUGGAGCGGUAAAAUGCGUAGAUAUCAGGAGGAACACCAGUGGCGAAGGCGGCUAUCUGGACAGUAACUGACGCUGAGGCGCGAAAGCGUGGGUAGCGAACAGGAUUAGAUACCCUGGUAGUCCACGCCGUAAACGCUGAUUACUAGGUGUAGGGGGUAUAGACUCCCUCUGUGCCGCAGUUAACGCAUUAAGUAAUCCACCUGGGGAGUACGGCCGCAAGGUUAAA